AGAACGAAAUUGAGGAAGCAUAAAAUCGAAUUGGGCGUUUGACCGGACUGGUAAAGAACCAGACCUCCACAGAGCGAAGCGAGGAGGUGGAGGAAGAACACCGAGAAAGACUCGCUUCUCUGAAAUCCCUAGCGCCUUGACGCCAAUUUCUUGCAUUUUCCAAUCAUAUCUAACCUCAAUUUUGUCAAUUCUGUACUCACUUCAGCAGCCGGCCAUGUUUCAACAAAACAAUAUGCAGCUGGCUAUACGGAUUCCGACAUCGCCCGCUCAAGAUUCUUCACAGUAUAUGCAAGUCGAUCAGAGCGACAAGUCUUUAGUAAUGAGCGGUGAUAUGCAAAAUGGGGGAUUCACGCAUGCGGAAUACAUCUUCAACUUCUCCAAGAAACUUGAAGAGGAUUUACAGACGUUUGGCAUGAAAAUAAAACAGCACGAGGAUAACAUUAAAUUUCUCAACACUCAGAAAAAAAAAUUAGACGAAUCCAUCCUCGAUUUGCAAGAAUUUCAUUUCGUUAUUCUAGGCAAGUAUCAUUCUUCUGGCACACCUGUGGCUGAAAACGAGGUUCAUUCCCAUCCUCAAAGCGAAGAGGAAACGAUGGAACAGAUUAUGCAGCAGGAAAAGUCUGCUGCUGGUAUUAUAUGUAGAUUGAACACACAUCAUGGUAUUCAGGCUUACAACAUUACGUUGACCAAGGAUGUAUUGGGCAUUGUUGCUCGGCUUGGAAAAGUUGAUGAUGAUAACCUUGGCAGACUGCUCUCUGAGUACCUGGGAAUGGAAACUAUGCUGGCAAUUGUCUGUAGAACGUAUGAUGGAGUUAAGAUGUUAGAAACAUACGACAAGGAAGGUUGCAUAAACAAAAGUUCUGGCCUUCAUGGUCUUGGUGCUUCAAUUGGGAGGAACUUGGAUGGCCGGUUUCUCGUAAUUUGUCUUGAACAUUUGAGACCGUAUGCUGGUGAUUUUAUUCCUAAUGACCCACAAAGGAGGCUUGAUCUUCUAAAGCCAAGAUUACCUAACGGGGAGUGUCCACCUGGCUUUGUUGGCUUUGCUGUUAACAUGAUCAAUAUUGAUAGCACACACUUGUUUUGUUUUGCAGCCAAUGGAUAUGGUCUCAGGGAGACGCUGUUCUAUUCUCUCUUUUCUCGUCUUCAAGUAUAUAAAACAAGAGCUGACAUGCUACAAGCUCUCCCUUGCAUAAGUGAUGGUGCACUUUCUUUAGAUGGAGGAAUAAUCAAGGCUAAUGGUCUUUUUUGCUUGGGCAAUCAGUAUGAAGCUCUCUUUCAAAAUUGUAAUUCAAGGAAGAUGUUCAGUUGAGAUUUCCGAAGGCCUCAAUGAAAUCAAGCCUGCCUGAAAGCUACAUUGAAUCUGAGAGGCAGAUGAAAGAGCUCAAGUGGAAAAAGGAAAAGAUGAUUGAAGAUAUAAAGAGAGAACAAGCAUUACUGAACAAUUCUAAGCUCAAUUUCGAUAGGAAAAAGGCAGAGUUUCUAAAGUUCCUUGCUGAAAGUUCAUCAUACGCAGCUCAGCAACAACUCUCAGUCAAGCCGGAGAGGCUGACACCACGAUGAAAUUUGCUGUAGAAAACACCAAGUUUUCCGGUGAACAACUUGGGGAAAGGAGCUGUCAGCUGCAAUAUUUUAACCUGAGAAAAUGCAUAAGCUUCCUAUUUCAUUUUUGAGGUAAAUAUCUUAUCUUAUGGUUUAGCUGAAGAAUUUCAAGGAAAUGGAAUAGGAGGCUGUGGCAUCUGUAGUUCCUCACUAGAUUAGGCAUUUUUUUUAGUGCUCACUGUCCAGAUUUAUUGAAACUAAUGUUGUUUAACUGAAGAGACAACGUUCUCUUGCAUUGGAUGAUCGUUAAGUGUUAGCGUAACAUAGUUCAAAUGGUCAAGUCAUAUUCUCCCGAAUAAGAAGUCUAAUGGAUCUUUGUCGUCGGACUCUUUAACUGAAGAGACAAUGGCUCUCUUGCAUUGGAUGGCGGUUUGUAUUGGUCAACUUUGUUGUAGGUUAAGAAAAGCCUCCAUUAUGAUCGUUAAGUGUUAAAAGUUU